rnacentral:tRNA from 2 species
GGGCGAUUAGCUCAGCGGGAGAGCGCUUCCCUGACACGGAAGAGGUCACAGGUUCAAUCCCUGUAUCGCCCACCA